rnacentral:rRNA from 1 species
AUUGAACGCUGGCGGAAUGCUUUACACAUGCAAGUCGAACGGCAGCACGGGGGCAACCCUGGUGGCGAGUGGCGAACGGGUGAGUAAUACAUCGGAACGUGCCCAGUCGUGGGGGAUAACGUAGCGAAAGUUACGCUAAUACCGCAUACGAUCUACGGAGGAAAGCGGGGGACCGUAAGGCCUCGCGCGAUUCGAGAGGCCGAUGUCAGAUUAGGUAGUUGGUGAGGUAAAGGCUCACCAAGCCAACGAUCUGUAGCUGGUCUGAGAGGACGACCAGCCACACUGGGACUGAGACACGGCCCAGACUCCUACGGGAGGCAGCAGUGGGGAAUUUUGGACAAUGGGCGCAAGCCUGAUCCAGCCAUUCCGCGUGCAGGACGAAGGCCUUCGGGUUGUAAACUGCUUUUGUACGGAACGAAAAGGCUCUGGUUAAUACCUGGGGCUCAUGACGGUACCGUAAGAAUAAGCACCGGCUAACUACGUGCCAGCCGCCGCCGUAA